rnacentral:lncRNA from 1 species
GAUUAAUGUACUAUUACUCUGGAUGCUUAAUUCGCACCCUCAUUAAAAUUGAUAGGGAGCAUCCACAAGCACGUCUCAAAGUGCCAAUUGCCAGCCCCCUCCUGAGCGUGUGGUGGGAGCUCUGCGACUCUCAGAAAGAUGCUGGUGGAAACUGCUGGAACUCCCAUCUGUUCUCAGGAUGUGGCAGCACAGCCCUUGACUAGAAGUGAAGCUUUGACUGUGCUUUCCUCUGCUGAAUUCUCCUUAUGCAGCUAACACCCAGGCGUGCUUGAGCCUUUCAUUUAUCUGUAACAUAUGGAAGGGAGCAGAAGGACUGUAAGAAAAGUAGUUCAGUACACCUAAACUGGUUCCUCCAUGUAAGGGUUAUCUCAGAACUUGCUAUGAUAAUAAGUAAAAGCAGGAAGAAAUCCAGUCUUGCUGCUAGCAAAACUUCCGUUACUCAUCUCCUGCUCUACCUCUUUGAAAGCUGUUGUAGUGACUGAAGCCAUUUUCACCACCGAGCACAAGUGAAUUAAAUGUGGGAGUCCCAAAAGCUUUCCACUUAGUUGUGUUAAUACAACUUAAUCCCAGCCUGAGGUGUGUGUGUUCUUCCUGCCCCAUCUCCUGGGAAGUUCUCGUCCUGGCUGCAGCUAUACAUAGUUCAUUAAGGAAAAGAUGUAGCGUAUUCACUUGUCCCUUCCUAAUUUUAGUCUUAGAAAUAUAUGACAUAAUAAAUUGAUGCUUGCUUGCAGUGGAUCCUGAGUAUUUAUAUCAUAAGUGAUGUCAUACCUUGGGCUUCCUUGCCAGGUAGUAGUACUGAAGUAGAGCAAGAGGGAACAAGCAUUACUUAAUGCAUGUCAAAUCAGUCUCAUCAUGCAGUAUCCUUAACAUUCCCGGGCAGCACAGCCCACUUGCUCUGUGUCACACCUCUCUGGCUGUGUGGCAGCUGAGAGCUCUGACUCUGCUCGUGGAUUUUCCAGGACCUUUUGAGGAUCACCAUGAGGCAUUCAGUGAAGUUCUUUUAGUUCCGUACAUUCUUGGCUUCCUGAUUUGGAAAAUGUGUACCUGGCAUCCUUGUUAAGUCAAGACAGUCAUACAGCAGGAAUUCUCUUUCCUAGUGAGUUACAUGUGGGAUACCAGGCCUCCCUUUGUCAUGUGCUCUGAUCCUGCCUAUCACCAACUCACAGCAGCUGCUGAAACGCAGUGGUCCACCUCCAGUGAGCCCCUGGUCACAGAAUGGCUGAGGUUGGGCAGGUCCAAUGGAGGCCAUCUCGUCCAAAAUGACUGCCUUCAAAUCCUGAUAGGAAUGUCUUCAAGCCCUUCAAGCUUUCACACUGCCCUGAGAUAAAGGGAAAUGGUUGUCUUUCUUCUGAUGCUUCUUCUGAAGGCUUCAUGUAGAAAGAUCUUGAUGUAGGCAAGGCAGCUCGACUGUGACUUAUCGGGUCAUCUUCUGUUCAGCUGUGUGGUGCUGAGGGAUGAUCUCUGUAUCAUUUCAAAGCAUCUAUUUUGUAUGGCAGUCCUCAGAGCAUCCCAGAGAGCUGGGUGCUUACUUUCCAAGCACACACUGCUCUUGUGAAUUGCAAGUCAUGUUGCACUGUUAUUUUUAGGGUAUGUACCUUAAUUUAGUAGUCCUGCUUAACUCUUCUAGCUUUUCAAAGAUGGACAAAACACAGCUCGUUAGCCUGGAUUUUAAGCUUAAUCAUAGGUAAAAUUCUGAAGGAGCUGCUUUGAAACUGUUGAACAAAUGAGCAAUUUCCUUGUGUCCAGGGCGAAUCUUUCAUAGUCAAGGGAUCUGAAGUUGCAGGCUGUGAACUUAUGUAGUUACAGAUGCUGAGCUGUUAAGAUUCUGUUUUCUUAUAUAGAUAAUAACUGCCAUAAUAAUACAGCUCCCAAACCUAAAUUAAACUGCUCACUUCAAGUAUUGAACUAAGUUGAUCAAGUGUGGAGGAAAUAAAUAAGAUACAAUUUUACUUGAAAUUAUGAAU